rnacentral:rRNA from 1 species
AAAGCGUGCGCAGGCGGCUUUGCAAGACAGAUGUGAAAUCCCCGGGCUCAACCUGGGAACUGCAUUUGUGACUGCAAGGCUAGAGUACGGCAGAGGGGGAUGGAAUUCCGCGUGUAGCAGUGAAAUGCGUAGAUAUGCGGAGGAACACCAAUGGCGAAGGCAAUCCCCUGGGCCUGUACUGACGCUCAUGCACGAAAGCGUGGGGAGCAAACAGGAUUAGAUAGCCGGGU